rnacentral:rRNA from 1 species
GAUCAUGGCUCAGGAUGAACGCUAGCUACAGGCUUAACACAUGCAAGUCGAGGGGCAUCAGGAAGAAAGCUUGCUUUCUUUGCUGGCGACCGGCNCACGGGUGAGUAACACGUAUCCAACCUGCCCCUUUUACUCGGGGGAUAGCCUUUCGAAAGAAAGAUUAAUACCCGAUGGCAUAAUGAUUCCGCAUGGGUUUUCAUUAUUAAGGGAUUCCGGUAAAGGAUGGGGGAUGCGUUCCAUUAGGUUGUUGGUGAGG